rnacentral:rRNA from 1 species
CAAUAGCGUAUAUUAAAGUUGUUGCAGUUAAAAAGCUCGUAGUUGGAUUUCUGGGAGAGUGCCAAUGUCCGCCGACGUGCGUGCGCAGCGGCGCUCUUUCAUCCUUCUGUAAACGUCGGGAAGUUUAUUCGUCCGCGGCGGGAUCAGUUAAUUUACCUUGAGAAAAUUAGAGUGUUUCAGGCAGGCGUAGCCGGAAUACAUUAGCAUGGAAUAAUGGAAUAGGACUUAGUCUCUUUGUUGGUUCGAGGGACUGGAGUAAUGAUUAAUAGGGAUAGUUGGGGGCAUUAGUAUUUAUUAGCUAGAGGUGGAAUUCUCUAAAUUUGAUAAAGACUAACUUAUGCGAAAGCAUUUGCCAAGGAUGUUUUCAUUAAUCAAGAACGAAAGUUAGGGGAUCAAAGAUGAUUAGAUACCA